rnacentral:rRNA from 1 species
AGCCUUUGGAAAGGAUUAAAGGUUAUACCUGCCCAAUGUUAAAUUAAUGGCCGCGGUACUUUGACCGUGCUAAGGUAGCACAAUCAAUUGGCCCUUAAUUAGGGUCAGGUAUGAAUGGAGUUACGGGGCUUAGCUGUCUCUAGACUAUUUAAUUGAAGUUGCUAUAUAGGUGAAAAAGCCUGUAUUAAGAAAAAAGACGAGAAGACCCUUAGAGUUUUACUUAAAAAAGAGUUAUUACUUCACUAGUUUUGUUGGGGCAACAUAGGAGAAGAACCAAACCUCCUAAAGGAUAUAAACCGAUGUUUUUAAAUAUGAAUAAACUACCUUAGGGAUAACAGCAUAAUUUUAAAAAUAAGUUUGUGACCUCGAUGUUGGACUAGGAAACUUAAGGGCUAGCCGCCUUUUGGUAAGGUUCUGUUCGAACUAUAAUUCCU